rnacentral:antisense_RNA from 1 species
GAGGUGGGCAAGUUAGUUGCUCCAAAUACAAGAUAAAGUGAUUGAGUUCUUUUCUCAAGCGGGAGUCGGAGUUUAUCCACUCUUAGAAAUAUUGAUGAUAAAGAGGAAACUAACUUUCUGAACCAUUAAAUGUGAUAUCAUUUAUCUCACCAAAUCCCAAGAUAGAUGCCUCCCACAUUGCCUGUGACUUUACAGAAGCUUGGAGUCUAAAUUAUGUGGCUGCUAUUAGUAACAACUUCAAGACCGAAGACUGUUGGGCUAUUGGCUCCACCGUGGGCACCACUAGGUUUAAACUCAAACAGCCAGAUGAGACCACUCGAACCUUGGCAGUUACCAGUUCAGAGGAGCAGCCUAACCCAGCCACUCCACAGUUGCAAUUUGAGAGCAUCUAGAGGACACCACAUACAUCUUUUCACCCGGUCUCUGCUGCCACAGAUGAAACCUCCUCAAUGCCCCCAAGAAGCCAUCUUGGGCAGGAAAAAGAGAGCCCCAGCAGCUACUAUUAAUGAGUGUCUGGAAUAUGUUCCUGGCAUUUCACCUACACUCUCUCCAAUCCUUCCAAGAAACUCACAAAGCAGGGCUUUUUCUUGAACUUCUCUUCCUCACAACAGUUAAAUCAUCCAUUUAAAGAUGUCAGACAAGCUCUGUGUUCUAAG